UACGUAGGCAGCAAGCGUUGUUCGGAAUUACUGGGCGUAAAGAGUGUGUAGGCGGUGUUCCAAGUCUGGUGUGAAAUCUCCGGGCUUAACUCGGAACGGUCAAGUGAUACUGCUGUGCUAGAGUGCGGAAGGGGCAACUGGAAUUCUCGGUGUAGCGGUGAAAUGCGUAGAUAUCGAGAGGAACACCUGCGGCGAAGGCGGGUUGCUGGGCCGACACUGACGCUGAAGCGCGAAAGCUAGGGGAGCGAACGGG
rnacentral:rRNA from 1 species